rnacentral:rRNA from 1 species
AGCCUUAGCGUGAUGGCAUAAAGUAGCGUAAGUGAUUUGUUUUUUUAGUGUUUUCAAGUAUGAAUGGAGUUUUUAAUGGCUAUUUUAUUUUUUUUUUUUUUGAAUUAUUUUUUUUUUAAAAAUUAUUAGGUAGAUUACUACAAAGAUAAGUCUUCGGAAAUUUGUUUUUACUUGUUUUGUUAUGGAUGUUAUGUAAAUUUUUCUUGGGAAUGGAUUUUAUGAAAUUUUUAUACUAUUUUUAUUAUUUUAAAUUACUCCGGAGUUAACAGGGUUGUGGACAUAUAAGUAGUUUUUAUAUUAGUGUGCUGCGCUACAUCGAUGUUGUAUAUUUUUUGGGAAGGAAGAGAGAAGUUUUUUUUUUUGAGACUGUUCUUCUUGUAUAAAAAAUGAACUUGAUAUUAGUUUAGUUCGUCGUGAGACAGAGCGGUUUAUCUUGUGUAAUCUUUUUUUUUGUUGGGGCUAGUACGAAAGGAAUGCAAUGUGGGU